CGUACAUGUAGUUCAGCGUAGCGGAAACACUCACACGUUAUGAAGGACCAGAUAUAUUUACAAAUUUCCAUAAAGUUCACACACACAGUUUGACAGUUGUUGUACAGUGUCAUGUGUCUCCGUAGUGGCCUGCUUGAUGUGGUCAGUUUGGGAUGAAAUUUAUUGGACCUAAAGUGGAGUAGUGACAUGACUUCCCUCAGGUCACCCAUUUCCAAGAUGGGAACAAACUGAUUGCAGAGUACCCUCACCAUGAAAAAGCUGAAAAAGCAGGCAGUGAAAGAUACCACCAAGAGCAGCACUGUGUCUUCUCCAUGUGUACAAUACAUGAUAUUUGGCAAGAUUUACCUGUUGAGUAUUGUGAUAACAACAACCCCUUCCAGAAAGGAG